rnacentral:lncRNA from 1 species
CGGGGAGUGAUGCCUGGAGGAUGACAGGGCGACAGAAGAAUGUGUUAAACAUAUGGAGUAUGGAAGAAGAAGGAGAGGGGAGAUAGGAUUUUUAUGUUAUAGAUUGGAAGAAGACAUCCUUGAUGAAGGAGAUGUUUUUACUUUGGAGAAGGACUGCCUCAGCCGCGAAAGACCAAGGGGUGGCACCACAGGGAGAAGUCUGCACUGCGCUUGUCAGGACGGCCAGUGGGGGGCUGCUGAGCGCAGGGAGUCAGUCCUCGCAAUGAAGAUAUAGUCUCGGGGAGAUAAUGCUGGAAAUCGAUGGAAGAAGUGGAACAGGACACAAAUUUA